CACAAUUAUAAUGUAAGAGGUACGGAUAAGGACCAAAACUCCCCAAGCCAAUUGCUCGAAACAGUUUGGUCGACAAAAACUAAUAAAGACCAAGUACUAAAGGCUACUCUUUUUCUAAUUUUCUCUUUCUUCUCGUUAGUCCUUUCAAAUCCUCUCAAUUUCUGACGAGAAAGAGAGAGAGACAGAGAGUUCCUGUGAGAGAGGAAAAGAAAGGAAGAGAUUAAUCCCAAAACUGAAACAAAAUCCUGUCAUUUCCUCAUCCUCCUCUCUCUCAAAUAUUCUAGGGUUUUUAUUUUCCACGAUACUAUGCACAAACUGGGCAGAGGUCACCGGGACAAAGUCCAGCAGUUCAUGACAAUAACUGGAGCGAGCGAAUAUGUCAGAGUCCACCGAAACCAGCCCUGUCUCGGAUGCCCCUGCAACUGAGAAUACUGCUGUAUCAACUGGGGAUUUACCAAACAUUCAAGUGGUGUAUCAAUUGAACGGAAAAAAUUACUUGAGGUGGUCACAAUUGGUCCAUAUGUUCUUGAAGGGCAGAGGGAAAUUGAGCCAUUUGUUGGGCACAGGUCCUUUGAAGGAUGAUCCCAAAUUUGCGGCAUGGGACGAACAGGAUUCAAUGGUGAUGUCGUGGUUAUGGAAUUCGAUGCUACCAGAAAUUAGCGAUACGUGUAUGUUUCUCGGAACCGCCAAGGAGAUUUGGGAUGCUAUCCGACAAACAUACUCCAAGGUUCAUGACGCUGCCCAAAUCUAUGAAAUGUUGACAUAAAUUUCAGCAACCAAACAAGAGACUCGAACUGUCACGGAAUAUUCGAGUUUCUUGCAAGGCUUGUGGCAGGAGAUGGACCAUUAUCAAUGUAUUCAAACGCGUUGCAGUGAGGUUGCCGCUAUUGUGAAGUGGUUCAUGGAGAAGGAUUGUAUCUAUGACUUUCUUGCCGGUCUAAAUGUCGAGUUCGAUGCUAUUAAAGUGCAGAUUUUGGGAAAAAAAGACCUGCCCUCCUUGAAUGAGACAAUUUCGAUCAUAUGAGCUGAAGAGGGAUGACGAAGUGUUAUGCUUGAAACCUACAGAGGAGAUAGUUUUGCCCCUGUGACCAAAACAAUCGUUUUGAAGGAAUCCAGCCCGUUGCAAUCUAUUGUCCAAGAAAAUCAAUGCAAGCUCACCAAUUGAGAGUCCUUAUUUUGCAUGUAUUGCAAGAAGCAUUGCCACACCAAGGAGCAAUGUUGGAAACUCCUUGGCAGGCCCAAUUGGAGUGCAAAUGACAGAGGUCAAGCGCAUGUGGCAAGCACUCAAUCGAGCAGUGAAGGGAGUGUCCAGAGUUUGAUCUCUAAUUUCAACAUGGAAGAGAUUGAAAAACUGAAGAAUUUUUUGGGGACCCUUGAGAAACCUUCCUCGGCAGGUCAAGGGGACAUUUAUAUAAGUGAUUCUCACACGGAGUAGGACACGAGGAGCACGAUUGGAUGUGUUAGUGAGAGUGAUGGUCUUUACUACUUGGGAAAGCAAAAUGGAAGAACUAGAUGAAAAGAUUGCUCUUCAAGCUUUGAAAGCCAGUGAUUGGCAUCUUGAAGGAGCUUUUGAUGUUUUCUACAACCAGCCUCACAUUAAAAGUUAUACUGAUACUAGAUAUUUGGAAGAGCUUUAUAACAGAUAUAAAGAUCCCUACACAGAUAUGAUACUGGCUGAUGGCAUUACUCUCCUAUGCAAUGACCUUCAGGUGGAUCCCCAAGAUAUUGUUAUGUUAGUUCUUUCAUGGCACAUGAAGGCUGCUACCAUGUGUGAAUAUUCCAAGCAGGAGUUCUUCAUUGGGUUGCAGGCACUCGGGAUAGAUUCUUUGGAGAAGUUUCGUGAGAGGAUAUCAUUUAUGCGUGCUGAGCUGAAAGAUGAACAAAAGUUUCGUGAGAUAUAUAACUUUGCAUUUGGCUGGGCAAAAGAAAAGGGCCAGAAAUCUUUGGCAUUGGAUACUGCAAUUGGUAUGUGGCAAUUGCUGUUUGCUGAGAAGCAAUGGCCAUUGGUUGACCAUUGGUGCCAGUUCUUACAGGCCCGACAUAAUAAAGCAAUCUCUAGGGAUACGUGGUCUCAACUUCUGGAGUUUGCUAGGAGAAAAUUGGGGAAAAGAAAAGAGAGAGAGAGAGAGAGAGAGAGAGCUAUCCUUUCAGUCAACUGGUCUAUAUGGAAUCUGAUCAUUUCUAAGUCUGAGGUGGAGAAGAGGGUAUACAUAAAUCUCAACCUGCAAGAGUGUUAAGCAUGAAAUAUAUUUAUCAACCUUCAUGAGGAAAGGAAUUCUCGAGGUUUUGUAUAUAUGACGGUAGACCCUGCACUAUCAAAUUACGAUGCUGAAGGUGCUUGGCCCUAUCUUAUAGAUGAAUUUGUGGAAUACUUGAACGAGAAUGGCAUCAUUCAAAAUGGCGAGGUGAGUGA